GUGAAUCAUCAAAUUUUUGAACGCAAAUUGCACUCUCUUCGGAGAGUAUGACUGUUUGAGGGUCAGCAUAAAAAAAAUCGACGUAGUCGCUGUUUCGCGGUGACAUUCGUCGGAAAUUGGGUCAACUUAAACCGUUGGGAUUUUUAAGAGGCUUAAAAUUUUCUUUACGUUUCCGCGAACGUUUCUAAUAUUUUACUUAUUACACACG
rnacentral:misc_RNA from 1 species